UCUACAAGAAAUAAAUUAUCACUAGCGUUUUUUAAAGUCAUAAAUCACACGCCGUUAUCAACCCGACAGGGAGAGAAUGACGCAUACCUGUGAUUCUACCUGUGUCAACAUUCUUACGAAUAGUACCUGUUAAUUAAGUCACCAGAUAUCUUACCUGACAGAGAAGAUUUUUUGUGCGAGUUAAACAUCGGGGAGACCAUCCAGGGUUAGAUUACCACCGGAUUGCAGGUGGAUACUUUGGGACGAUGUAUUCGUGGACUAUUUUCUUGUUUACAACAUUGAUUAUUAUCAACAUGUUUCAAGGACCCAUACCUGUGUCUGCCUCCGGUAUGGAUGGCUGUGACGGCGCCACCGGAACACAUGGGUCAGCCGGAAUCCUGGUCCUGUCCCUACUCGUCACUUUAGCACUGUACCUGAACAGACCUGGAGUGUUUGGAUGAAAUCUCAAGACGAUUCCCAGAAAUAUUACUUGUGCUUAUUUUUGAAGAAACUGACUUGAAAAAACCCCCAGAACUGUGAAUAAGCAUUAUGUUCUCAACAAUAAGGAAUUGUGUUUAUACCAUCAUACUACAUUACUAAGUUAUUUUCUUUGAAAGAUGGUUUCCAUGACAACACGAUCAUUUUGUUUCUGGAUCAAAUAUUUCUGGAUAUUUGAGGAGAAAUGUAUGUCUGUUUGAAAGUUGUAAAUAAUGGUGAUGCAUAUGUGUAAAAUCAUUUUCAUGUUAUCUAACUUUCUGUGUAACUGCAUGUUAAAUAAUCCCCCCAGAUAAAUCCCCCUUCCACCCGAAAAAAUAUAAGUAAGACAUAAUCACGAUAUGCAGUUAUUUCAUAUCUUAUCAGUCGACAGUCAAAACUAUUUCCUCGAGGUGCUGGAAUCAAGACGGAAAUAGUUCAUCAGGCCAGGUCCCAACACCGAAGGGGAAUAGUUCUGACUAUAGAUUGAAAGGACAUGGUUAGCUAAUCAAUGUACAACACAUGUUAUUAUUUUAUAUUAAUCACAUCAUUAGUGGGUUUCAAAACCUGAUUCGACGAUUAAACUUUUUUUUUUUUAAAUCAACAACAAUUAAGCAGUACUUGUUUGCAAUAUGAACAUGUACAAUGUAUAUGUCAAUUCCAAUUCACACAGAAAAUAGAUGCCAUUUAAUUUUGAGUUAAGUCUAGAUUGCCAAAUAAUAUAAAAUUCGUGUUU